rnacentral:ncRNA from 1 species
GUCUAGGUACAUACCUUAAAACGGUGAAACCGCGAAUGGCUCAUUAAAUCAGCUAUGGUUCCUUAGAUCACAUACUACGUGGAUAACUGUAGUAAUUCUAGAGCUAAUACAUGUAAUUAUGCCCUGACCCGCAAGGGAACGGGUGCAUUAAUUAGAACAGAACCAACCGGGGGCAGUUUCGACUGUCUCUGUUGAAUUCUGUGAUGACUCUGGAUAACUUUAAUGAUCGCAGUCGGCGACGGAUCUUUCAAAUAUCUGCUCUAUCAAUUUGUAUAUCAUAAAGUAACAGGUGAG